rnacentral:rRNA from 1 species
AUUGAACGCUGGCGGCAUGCCUAACACAUGCAAGUCGAACGGUAACGAUGGAAGCUUGCUUCCAGGCGACGAGUGGCGGACGGGUGAGUAAUGCUUGGGAAUUUGCCUAGUAGUGGGGGACAACACGGGGAAACUCGUGCUAAUACCGCAUAAGCCCUACGGGGGAAAGCGGGGGAUCUUCGGACCUCGCGCUAUUAGAUGAGCCCAAGUCGGAUUAGCUUGUUGGUGGGGUAAAGGCCUACCAAGGCAACGAUCCGUAGCUGGUCUGAGAGGACGAUCAGCCACACUGGGACUGAGACACGGCCCAGACUCCUACGGGAGGCAGCAGUGGGGAAUAUUGCACAAUGGGGGAAACCCUGAUGCAGCAAUGCCGCGUGUGUGAAGAAGGCCUGCGGGUUGUAAAGCACUUUCAGUAGAGAAGAAAAGCUUACGGUUAAUAACCGUGAGUCUUGACAUUAACUACAGAAGAAGCACCGGCUAACUCCG